AUUGAACGCUGGCGGCAGGCUUAACACAUGCAAGUCGAGCGGAGUGAUGGUGCUUGCACUAUCACUUAGCGGCGGACGGGUGAGUAAUGCUUAGGAAUCUGCCAUUUAGUGGGGGACAACAUUCCGAAAGGAAUGCUAAUACCGCAUACGUCCUACGGGAGAAAGCAGGGGAUCUUCGGACCUUGCGCUAAAUGAUGAGCCUAAGUCGGAUUAGCUAGUUGGUGGGGUAAAGGCCUACCAAGGCGACGAUCUGUAGCGGGUCUGAGAGGAUGAUCCGCCACACUGGGACGAGACACGGCCCAGACUCCUACGGGAGGUAGCAGUGGGGAAUAUUGGACAAUGGGCGGAAGCCUGAUCCAGCCAUGCCGCGUGUGUGAAGAAGGCCUUUUGGUUGUAAAGCACUUUAAGCGAGGAGGAGGCUACUAGUACUAAUACUACUGGAUAGUGGACGUUACUCGCAGAAUAAGCACCGGCUAACUCUGUGCCAGCCGCCGCCGUAACAC
rnacentral:rRNA from 1 species